AGUCAUAUGAAUCAAUCGAUCGAUCUGAGUCUGAUGUGAAAUCCCAAUGAAAAAUUCUUUUUCCAUUAUUUCACUCUGCCAUGGCCAUGGGCUUAAGGACUCGAUCUUUCGAUCAUCAUAGGACUACUCCUCUCAUCUACCGAGGUUGAUAGAUCCCAUCUUGGUGCGACCUAGUUCCUACAAUGAAUAUGCUACAGCCAACAUACACCUCAGGAUUCCGAAUGGCUAGAAGAUCGAGUUAUGGUGUAGUCAAACUAUAACACACUCAAGGUGAACUGUCGAUGUACCUCAGGUCAAAGAACUAGACACAC
rnacentral:lncRNA from 1 species